rnacentral:misc_RNA from 1 species
GAUGAAGAACGUAGCAAAAUGCGAUACUUGGUGUGAAUUGCAGAAUCCCGUGAACCAUCGAGUUUUUGAACGCAAGUUGCGCCCGAAGCCUUUUGGCCGAGGGCACGUCUGCCUGGGCAUCACGCAUCGCGUCGCCCCCCACAAAUUCUCCUCAGGGGAGCUUGUGUUUCGGGGGCGGAUACUGGUCUCCCGUGCUCAUGGCGCGGUUGGCCGAAAUAGGAGUCCCUUCGAUGGACGCACGAACUAGUGGUGGUCGUAAAAACCCUCGUCUUUUGUUUCGUGCCGUUAGUCUCGAGGGAAGCUCUUCAAAAACCCCAGCGCGUCGUCUCUUGACGGCGCUUCGACCGCGACCCCAGGUCAGGCGGGACUACCCGCUGAGUUUAAGCAUAUCAAUAAGCGGAGGA